rnacentral:misc_RNA from 1 species
GAAAUGCGAUAAGUAGUGUGAAUUGCAGAAUUCAGUGAAUCAUCGAAUCUUUGAACGCACAUUGCGCUCCCUGGUAUUCCGGGGAGCAUGCCCGUUUCAGAAUCAUUAGUAACGUCCAUCCGUGGCUCUGUGUCUCGGCACAGGCAAGUGGCUGGGAAGUUGGGCAGAGUGAGUGGUCCACCCACCUGUCUGAAUGAUAUUGUCUGCGUGGCGGCUAGUCUCUGGUGCGGCCAGCACAGUGCAACAGAUGUCUUUUCGUCUAUUCACUUUCUGGUCAACCUGAGUGGUCAGUUGGGCAGUCUCCAAGUUGUAUUAACUGGUCAAGCUGCUGGUGAGCAGCCUGGCCUGUAAACUUGGUCUGAAAUCGGGCAAGAAAACCCGCUGAACUUAA